GAAUGACGGGACCGCACAAGCGGUGGAUGAUGUGGAUUAAUUCGAUGCAACGCGAAAACCUUACCUACCCUUGACAUGUCCGGAAUCCCGAAGAGAUUUGGGAGUGCUCGAAAGAGAACCUGCACACAGGUGCUGCAUGGCUGUCGUCAGCUCGUGUCGUGAGAUGUUGGGUUAAGUCCCGCAACGAGCGCAACCCUUGCCAUCAGUUGCUACGAAAGGGCACUCUGAUGGGACUGCCGGUGACAAACCGGAGGAAGGUGGGGAUGACGUCAAGUCCUCAUGGCCCUUAUAGGUGGGGCUACACACGUCAUACAAUGGCCGGUACAAAGGGCAGCCAACCCGCGAGGGGGAGCCAAUCCCAUAAAGCCGGUCGUAGUCCGGAUCGCAGUCUGCAACUCGACUGCGUGAAGUCGGAAUCGCUAGUAAUCGUGGAUCAGCAUGUCACGGUGAAUACGUUCCCGGGUCUU
rnacentral:rRNA from 1 species